CCUACGGGUGGCAGCAGUGGGGAAUAUUGGGCAAUGGGCGCAAGCCUGACCCAGCAACGCCGCGUGAAGGAUGAAGGCUUUCGGGUUGUAAACCUCUUUUCUUAGGGACGAAGAAAGUGACGGUACCUCAGGAAUAAGUCACGGCUAACUACGUGCCAGAAGCCGCGGUAAUACGUAGGCUGCAAGCGUUAUCCGGAUUUAUUGGGUGUAAAGGGCGUGUAGGCGGGAAAGCAAGUCAGAUGUGAAAACUAAGGGCCCAACCCUGGGCCUGCAUUUGAAACUGUGUAUCUCGAGUGCUGGAGAGGAAAGUGGAAUUCCGGGUGUAGCGGUGAAAUGCGUAGAUAUACGGAGGAACACCAGUGGCGAAGGCGGAUUUCUGGACUGUAACUGACGCUGAGGCGCGAAAGCGUGGGGAGCAAACAGGAUUAGAUACCCCGGUAGUC
rnacentral:rRNA from 1 species